rnacentral:lncRNA from 1 species
CCGAUUUCAUCAUACAAUCCUUUCAGGAUCAUCAUCAAUUGCAUAAAGUAGCUUAGAAUUGAGAGUAAGAUUGAUUGAGCUAAAGUAAUUCUACCUGCUAGAGAAAGUUGUCUAGCGUACCAACUACAAAGUUUACUCGGCAUCUUAUCAAUGACAAAGCGCAAAGAAUUACUCAUAAAAUCUUCGUGAAAGAGGGGAAUCCCUAAAUACGAAUCAAGAUUCU